CAAACUGCGCUGUCUCAACCAUUUUGAGAAACCCACUGGUUAUAGUAUUUCAACUAUACUAGUGAAAUCUCUUUACCUCUUCACUUCAAACUCCAGUCUUCAAACUCUUCAACUGACUCUUAAUCAAUUCUUACUAAGUUAAAAACUUGAAUCUUCUUUCAAUUUCCACGAACAACUAACGCUUGCUCACCUCAAAAUUGACCUUACAACUUGAAACUUAUCCCAGUUCAUUUCCUUCAUCCACUGACCCUCUUCCCAUGCUCAACGUCCAUUUAUUCUCCCACUUCUAGGUCGACAAUGCAUCUUGAGACUGAAGUCUCACUUGUCUUCUUUGCUUCAUAUAUCUCCACCAUACCUAAACUCACUUCUGACUCUUGAAGAUCACCAAACACUCCCAACUGAUGCCCUAGAUAAUGAUGUCUCAGUUGUUUUAAAGAAGCUCAUCUCACAUAACCGCUCAUACAUGAACUUGAAAACGCUUCACAUACACUUGGUACUGAUAAGAACAAGCCACUAACAUUCGUUGCGCUACUCUGAUCCUCAAAUUCUCUUGUUCACUAGUUUACUGAAAGAACACUUCCUUCAUGACAAUUUGCAACCCGAAGAUGAUCACCCUUAAAGAACCUUCUUCAAAACUUCCAUGACUUUGCAAAACCCCAGUAACUCUUUUCUUCCAUGAUAACCUUAUCAUUCCAUUUUCCUCAACACUAUUUUUCUACUCCACAAAACGACCAUGCUCGAAAUCAUUCUGAUUACCAAGACUUAUACUAGACUGUUUCAACCUGUCUUCUAAUUCUCUUCUGAGAUUCUUCAAUCUUGUGGUUCUCCCUAUGAUCACACUGAGACCAAACACUGUUGCCCUAACCCAACUUCCACCUUCUUCUUGUAUUACACAACUUCAACAGGAACCAUCCAUAAAGACAUUAGCAACACCGGUUCUUCUUAGACACCAUUCCAAAAUGAGCAUCACUUCUCCAAGGUAUAAAAUUCUCAUACUUGUUGCAGAACACAAACCAAAACCCUUAUGCUAAAAAGAUCCAUCUUUUCUUCUUUUCUUAACCUUGCUAAACUAUUCUGACUUCCACAACCAUUUGUCUUCACAUUUUAACUUGAUCCACAAUUGAAGUAUAACCAUUGACUUUUCUUCUUGAAACACGAAGCUUCUCUUGAAGACCAUAAUGCGCUAGAGAACUAUUUUGAAACAACAACCUCCCUUGAAUCACACCUCAAACUUACGAAAGAAUAACAUCAUCUCUUCUUCACUCGCACUUAACAAACAUCUUGAUGUGUCACCUCAAACACUUACUUCUAUCUUUCGCUCAACUAUACUUGAUGUGCCACCUUUGCUCUCCUUCCCUGCCAAGAACCCACUCCAUAGAAGCUUCAAACCCGAGCCCUUAGAUUAACUCCACAAACAUUAAAUCACUUAUAAUUCUUCAUGCACUCAUCCGGCCAAAUUAACUUAAGACCUUCUUCUUCAAGAAUUUCCCUCUCCAACUCAGAAAUCUUUAGAAAUACAAACUCUAUCUUUAAUCCUUCAAACCUCAAAACACACGUAGCUAGCCACACCAAACCUCUGACCUUAUUUGAACUUACAAUUUCACUGCCUUUUGUAACCCAUCAUUUAACAUUCGCUUCUAACUUGAUCAAACUCAACCGACCACUAAACAUCACCACAAAACCACACCCGACGAAAACUGAAUUUACCAAUCUCUGUGAUAAUUCUCAAUGCCCAUUUUAGCUGAUUAUACUGCAAUCACCCUUUUUCAUGCACUUCAAAAACUUUUCUUCACUAUUUUUGAUUCCUCAUGCUUUCAAUCUUAUUGUCUUACCUUUUCUUUUUAACUGACUUCCGAAUGUGCCUCUUCCUUCGGUGCUUGAAGUCUUCCACCUCAAACCGAGAUCAAACAUUCCUUCUAUGCGAAUUACUAAUCUUGAAACAUCAUCCUAAGCUUGACUAUGAAUCAUCCACUUGCUGAGAAAGCCCUACCACUCCUUCCAAUUGUAUUACUUAACUCCAACCCUUACGAUACCUCAUUCUUCUUCCAAUCUCGUACAUCCUUCAUAUACCAAACCAUUUGCCAACCACUACCAAAGUUACUUCGUUGCUCAUCAACAUUUUCCUUUCUUCUGACCUUCCACACUAUUGAAACAUUGAA
rnacentral:lncRNA from 1 species